rnacentral:rRNA from 1 species
GACGAACGCUGGCGGCGUGCUUAACACAUGCAAGUCGAACGAAGUGGCGGACGGGUGCGUAACGCGUAAUCAACCUGCCCUUCAGAGGGGGACAACAGUUGGAAACGACUGCUAAUACCGCAUACUGAAGGAGGGGAUUGCGUCUGAUUAGCUCGCUGGAGGGGUAACGGCCCACCAAGGCGAGGAUCAGUCGCCGGUCUGAGAGGGUGAACGGCCACAUUGGGACUGGGACACGGCCCAGACUCCUACGGGGGGCAGGAGUGGGGAAUCUUCCGAAAUGGACGAAAGUCUGACGGAGCAACGCCGGGUGAGUGAUGACGGCCUUCGGGGUGUAAAGCUCUGUUAAUCGGGACGCGGUACCGGAAUAGAAAGCCACGGCUAACUACGUGCCAGCAGCCGCGGUAAUUC